rnacentral:rRNA from 1 species
UACAGAGGUCUCAAGCGUUGUUCGGAAUCAUUGGGCGUAAAGGGCGCGUAGGCGGCCGAGCAAGUCGGACGUGAAAUCCCCCGGCUCAACUGGGGAACUGCAUCCGAAACUGCCUGGCUUGAGUCCUGGAGAGAGUAGUGGAAUUCCCAGUGUAGCGGUGAAAUGCGUAGAUACUGGGAGGAACACCGGUGGCGAAGGCGGCUACCUGGACAGGUACUGACGCUGAGGCGCGAAAGCUAGGGGAGCAAACAGG